rnacentral:sRNA from 13 species
UAGGAUCGACGUGUGCUGAAAGACGGUAUUUUCGCCCGGGCUGAGUAACCCGUAAAACUGUUCGCAACACACAAGUGCCAACGACAACGAAGCACUCGCUCUCGCUGCGUAAUCUGACGGGCUAACGCCCUGAUCUUACAAAGCUAAAGCGCGGUUGGACCCACCGGGCAACAGAAG